AUAGAGACUCAGAGCUGCAUAUCAAUAAGCGGAGGAAAAGAAACUAACAAGGAUUCCCUUAGUAACGGCGAGUGAAGCGGGAAGAGCUCAAAUUUGAAAUCUUCAAGGUUUUACCUUGACGAAUUGUAGUUUAAAGAAGUGGUUUCUGUUGAAGUUUUGGUAAAAGUUCUUUGGAAUAGGACAUCAUAGAGGGUGAGAAUCCCGUAUUUGACCAUUAUUUCCAGCUUUGUGAUACACUUUCAAAGAGUCGGAUUGUUUGGGAAUGCAGUCCAAAAUGGGUGGUAAAUUUCAUCUAAAGCUAAAUAUUGGCGAGAGACCGAUAGCGAACAAGUACCGUGAGGGAAAGAUGAAAAGAACUUUGAAAAGAGAGUUAAACAGUACGUGAAAUUGUCAAAAGGGAAGCGUUUGACACCAGUGUUGUUUUUCCAAAAAUCAAUUACGAAUGGCUUGAUUUUGUGUUGUAUUGACCUUAUCAGCUUUCUGCACUUUUUUCGAGUCUUUCUUAAUGCACUUUUCGGCUAACAAGUCAACAUCAAUUUCUUUUGUUGUAAAAGAGUAUUCGGAAGGUGGCUUUCUUUUCGGAGAAAGUGUUUAUAGCCCUUAUGACUUCUACAAUCGGAGAGACUGAGGUCUGCAGCGUAGAUCCUUCGGGGUUAGAUACAUUUGUGCUAAGUUAUAGCCUUUUCAUAGGACAACUUGUUGACUACGUUAUCAGUCAUGUCGCUUACUCGCUUAUAGCUAUUUUACCUACGCUUAGGAUGUUGACGAUCAGCUGAGCGCGA
rnacentral:rRNA from 1 species